rnacentral:rRNA from 1 species
UACGGGGGGGGCAAGCGUUGUUCGGAAUUACUGGGCGUAAAGGGCUCGUAGGUGGCCAAUUAAGUCAGACGUGAAAUCCCUCAGCUUAACUGGGGAACUGCGUCUGAUACUGGAUGGCUUGAGUUUGGGAGAGGGAUGCGGAAUUCCAGGUGUAGCGGUGAAAUGCGUAGAUAUCUGGAGGAACACCGGUGGCGAAGGCGGCAUCCUGGACCAACACUGACACUGAUGAGCGAAAGCCAGGGGAGCAAACGGG